rnacentral:RNase_P_RNA from 1 species
AAACCGCAAGCGUGCAGUCGCUGCAUGGCAUAAGCCACGCAGAGGAAAGUCCGAACUUCACAGGGCAGGGUGCCGGUCGAGAACCUCGUUCAAGGCCGGGGGCGGCGGCGCAAGUCGGCCGUCACAGAGAGUGCAACAGAAAGCGAACCGCUCCGGCUCAGGCUGGAGUAAGGGUGAAAAGGGGGUGUAAGAGACCACCAGGCAGGUCAGCAAUGCCCUGCGCUAUGAAAACCUCCCCGAAGCAAGGCCAAAUAUGGAAGCUUUUUCCCGGUUCCGGGAAAGAAGGGUUGCCCGCCCAACUGUUCAGGGUUUCACUCCGGACAGAGUUUUCGGGUAGGCCGCAUCAGAUAAAUGACUGCAACUUCGCCACUCGAUGGUGAUGUACAGAAUUCGGCUUACAGCUUCGGUUUCAGC